rnacentral:tRNA from 1 species
AUAGAAAUCCACUAGGGGGUGAGUUUGCAAAGCUCAUUAGGGCGUCUCGUUCUUCUAUAUA